ACAUUGAUUUUGAGUCUUUGACCAUGCUUUUCCUGGUCAUGCCAAAAUUUGGUUACCAACUACUACACAACUAUGCUGACCAAAUUCAAGACAGGGGUUGGAUCUGCAACAUAUAUUAUUAAGCUUCAAGAUCAUUUACCAGAAAUUCCAUUUCACUAAAUCGCAACAUUCAUUGAAGUCAAACCUAAUUCUGAUUCACAAGCAGCCAACAUCUGUCACACUUCUUGCAGAUUGGUUGCUCACCUACAUUCUCAAACCUUUUACUACACUUUCUAGCUUAUUCUCUUCAACAUUCAUAUUCCUCCCUCUGAAGGAUGUAUGUCUGUCUAAAUGUGGAAAACAAAGCAUGAAAAACACUUCUUCUUAGACUAGUUAUUUUAUUCUGAGGUAUCAAUAGCACAGUUUAUAUCAAUUCUGUGCUCCAUCUUGUUGAAAACAAGAAGGAUUUUUGAGGGUUUAAGGCUUUCACGUGUCAUUUGUGCCCAUUGUCUCUUAAGGUCCAUUUUA